GAUGAACGCUGGCGGCGUGCCUAAUACAUGCAAGUCGAACGCGCAGCGAAAGGUGCUUGCACCUUUCAAGCGAGUGGCGAACGGGUGAGUAACACGUGGAUAACCUGCCUCAAGGCUGGGGAUAACAUUUGGAAACAGAUGCUAAUACCGAAUAAAACUUAGUAUCGCAUGAUACAAAGUUAAAAGGCGCUACGGCGUCACCUAGAGAUGGAUCAGCGGUGCAUUAGUUAGUUGGUGGGGUAAAGGCUUACCAAGACGAUGAUGCAUAGCCGAGUUGAGAGACUGAUCGGCCACAUUGGGACUGAGGCACGGCCCAAACUCCUACGGGAGGCUGCAGUAGGGAAUCUUCCACAAUGGGCGCAAGCCUGAUGGAGCAACGCCGCGUGUGUGAUGAAGGCUUUCGGGUCGUAAAGCACUGUUGUAUGGGAAGAAAUGCUAAAAUAGGGAAUGAUUUUAGUUUGACGGUACCAUACCAGAAAGGGACGGCUAAAUACGUGCCAGCAGCCGCAGUAA
rnacentral:rRNA from 1 species